CAAGAGCCCUGUUAGUGGGGAGCCCGCGGGGAACCCAGCUCAGUCAAGUCCUUCAUCUCAAAAGCCACCACUGUCGUGAGACUUGUUUUUAGCUCUGGAAGGCUGGAAGUACAAGGUCUGAAAAACACUGCUGUCCAUUCAGUAACCUGAGCCGGCUGCACCCUUUGUGGCACACACUGCUGCUGGAUUACUUUUCCUCUAAGAUGUGUACGUUCAAAUCUCUGGAUGUUGCUGAGUUACAAACCCCCAGAUUCUGGGUGCCACGAGGGUAAGAGAGGAGGUGAUCUGCCAUGGUGGGAGAUGUCCAGGUAGAAGUUCCCCAGCCUGUAGACAGCGGUAAACGCGAUGAGGCCUACAAUACCAAUGUUGCCGACAUAAAUAUUGACUGCGAAGCUCCUUGAAGUGCUCCUGAUUUAUAGACUUCAAAGCCGAAGAAGACAAGCUACACUGGACUGAAGCUCAACAAAUUGGGCCCAAAUCUGAUCUUGCAGGAACUCUAUUCAACGUAAUUCAUCUGACCUAAAUAGAGCUACUCCUUAAAGUGACAGAACGAGGCCACAAUUUGUAUAAGUGAGAGACCAGAGAAAUCAGA